CCUACGGGUGGCAGCAGUGAGGAAUAUUGGUCAAUGGACGAGAGUCUGAACCAGCCAAGUAGCGUGAAGGAUGACUGCCCUAUGGGUUGUAAACUUCUUUUAUAUGGGACUAAAAUGUUCCACGUGUGGGAUUUUGUAUGUACCAUAUGAAUAAGGAUCGGCUAACUCCGUGCCAGCAGCCGCGGUAAUACGGAGGAUCCGGGCGUUAUCCGGAUUUAUUGGGUUUAAAGGGUGCGUAGGUGGAUUGUUAAGUCAGUUGUGAAAGUUUGCGGCUCAACCGUAAAAUUGCAGUUGAAACUGGCAGUCUUGAGUACAGUAGAGGUGGGCGGAAUUCGUGGUGUAGCGGUGAAAUGCUUAGAUAUCACGAAGAACUCCGAUUGCGAAGGCAGUUCACUGGACUGCAACUGACACUGAGGCUCGAAAGUGUGGGUAUCAAACAGGAUUAGAUACCCCUGUAGUC
rnacentral:rRNA from 1 species